UGGGGAAUAUUGCACAAUGGAGGAAACUCUGAUGCAGCGACGCCGCGUGAGCGAUGAAGGCUUUCGAGUCGUAAAGCUCUGUCCUAUGGGAAGAUAAUGACGGUACCAUAGGAGGAAGCCCCGGCUAACUACGUGCCAGCAGCCGCGGUAAUACGUAGGGGGCGAGCGUUGUCCGGAAUCACUGGGCGUAAAGGGUUCGCAGGCGGUCUACCAAGUCCGAUGUGAAAGGCAUGGGCUCAACCCAUGUAAGCAUUGGAAACUGGUAGACUUGAGUUAAGGAGAGGUAAGUGGAAUUCCUAGUGUAGCGGUGAAAUGCGUAGAUAUUAGGAAGAAUACCGGUGGCGAAGGCGACUUACUGGACUUAAACUGACGAUGAGGAACGAAAGCGUGGGGAGCAAACAGG
rnacentral:rRNA from 1 species